AUGCUUAUACUUGAAAACAUAUCUAUAGCCAUAUUGAAUUAUCAGUUAUGUUGGGACAUGACUAAAUUAAGUGAAUUUAAUUGUUGAUGUUGUUGAUCUAGGUUUGAAUAAAAUUUUCCAAAUCCUUUAUAGAAACUAAAUUGCUAUAAAUCAGUUUUGGGGCAGGAAGGUUAGUGAUUGUUUUCAUAGAUGUGUGAUGAUUUGGAGUUCUUGGAUCCCAACAUUAGUUGAAGGAAUUUGAGUUAAGAAGUCUAAAACGGGUAUUGAUCAUCCUUAAAAAAAUUCGAAUCUCAUACAUAUGUAACCUCUUUCGUAGCCUUUAUGACUUAAGUGAUUAAGCCUGCUAAGGUCUUUAAAGCUUGGUGCCCUAUAAUCGUCUGGUUUGGGAGUCAUCGGCCUAAUGCUUGUUAUAGGGGAUCAUUUAGAAAGUUUAAUGGAAAGAAGUUUUGCACAUAAGAUGUUGAGAAAAAAAACGAAUGAAAAGUUAGAUUCUCAUAUAAAAAGAAAAAGUGACAAAUCUUCUACCUCUCAUUGUAAUCUUUUUGACUCGAGUUAUUAAGUCUGUAAGGGUAUUUAAAAUUUUGGUGUUCUAUAGUUUGAUUUGGGAGUUAUCGACCUAAAACUUGCUACAUGCAUCAUUUAGGAAGCUUAAAGAAGAGAAGUCUUGUACAGGAGAUGUAAAAAAAAUAAUCUAAAUAAUCAAAAGUGAAAUGUGCUCGAUAAAGACUUUGAGAUUUAAACUAUAGGGAUUAGCAGUGUGACUUUGAGAAGCACUUAUCAUCUUUUUUCCUAGGUUUACAUAUAUCCAAACCACUUGAGUGAAAAAUGCGUUAUAAUAAUUUUUAGAAACCCAUAUGUUCUAGAAGUACUUCGGGCUUUGGGAGAAAAACAUAUGGAUUGCUCAUGCACAAGAGGCAUGAGGAAAAAUUGAUCACAAGAGGAUUGAGAUUGUGCGUAAAUCAACAUUACUUGAUUAGUUGUGUUCUAGUAUGGGUAUGAGUUCAAUGUUGGCUAGUCAUACACAUACUAAGUCGAGCAUCGGAUAAGUAAAAAUCUAUUUUAAUAUUAUUUGGAUCUUUCUAAAGUAUUGCUUAAAUUUAAACGUAAGGCUUAUGAUAAGCGAUUCAGCAUUGAGUCUUUUAUUUGUGAUUUGUUUGGGUUAGUUAUAUGUGUCAUAUCUAAGUUUUAUUUUAUUUUCUUCGAGGAUGAAAAAAUGUUUUAGUUUGGGGGUGUUUGAUAAAUACAUUAUUGUUCACUUAUUUAGGACAUAUUAUUAAACUUUUAUGUCGUCAAAUUGUUGAAUUUUAUUUAACUUGGGUUAAUUUUUUUAUUUUUUUUUUAACUAAUGGACUCGUUUGAAGCAAUUGAUAAGAAAAUAAGGAUUGAUUGGCCAUUAAGUAGAAGUUUGUGGACUAAAUCUCACUUGAAUAAAAGCUGGAGGAUCAAAAUCGAGGAGAAAAUGAAGAAAGUGACUAACUUGCAUCACUGGAAGAAUUGAGGCUUUAGAAGAUAAAUUGCAACUAAUUGGGCCUCAAAAUAAUGAAAUUUUAAUUGGGCCUAAAGUGGACUUUUAAUUGAAUAAUUAAUGGAACGUUGAAUUGAAAUUGCAACUAAUUGGGCCUCAAAUUGAUGAAAAGUGAAAAUUUAAUUGGGCCUAAAGUGGAUUUUUAAUUGUAAUUAAAUUGAAUAAUUAAUGGAACGUUGAAUUGGGCAACUGCUUUAGAAUUGUGAAAGUGUGUGUGUGUG
rnacentral:lncRNA from 1 species